GAUGAAGAACGCAGUGAAAUGCGAUAAGUAGUGUGAAUUGCAGAAUUCAGUGAAUCAUCGAAUCUUUGAACGCACAUUGCGCCCCUUGGUAUCCAUGGGGCAUGCCUGUUCGAGCGUCAUUUGUACCUUCAAGCUUUGCUUGGUGUUGGGUGUUUGUCCCGAGGGACUCGCCUUAAAGUAAUUGGCAGCCAGUGUUUGGUUUUGAAGCGCAGCACAAGUCGCGAUUCAAGGCUACACGCCCGCUUCCACAAGCCUUUUUUCACUUUUGACCUCGGAUCAGGUAGGGAUACCCGCUGAACUUAAGCAUAUCAAUAAGCGGAGGA
rnacentral:misc_RNA from 1 species